CCUACGGGAGGCAGCAGUGGGGAAUCUUGCGCAAUGGGCGAAAGCCUGACGCAGCCAUGCCGCGUGGAUGAUGAAGGUCUUAGGAUUGUAAAAUCCUUUCACCGGUGAAGAUAAUGACUGUAGCCGGAGAAGAAGCCCCGGCUAACUUCGUGCCAGCAGCCGCGGUAAUACGAAGGGGGCUAGCGUUGCUCGGAAUUACUGGGCGUAAAGGGAGCGUAGGCGGACAUUUAAGUCAGAGGUGAAAUCCCGGAGCUUAACUUCGGAACUGCCUUUGAUACUGGGUGUCUUGAGUGUGAGAGAGGUAUGUGGAACUCCGAGUGUAGAGGUGAAAUUCGUAGAUAUUCGGAAGAACACCAGUGGCGAAGGCGACAUACUGGCUCAUUACUGACGCUGAGGCUCGAAAGCGUGGGGAGCAAACAGGAUUAGAUACCCUGGUAGUCCACGCCGUAAACGAUGAUUGCUAGUUGUCGGGAAGCUUGCUUCUCGGUGACGCAGCUACGCAUAAGACAUCCGCCGUGGGAGGUACGGUCGCAGAUAAACUACGAAGAAGUAGACGCGNGAGACGNGCGAGGACGACGACGAGGGAGAGG
rnacentral:rRNA from 1 species